GUAUUAUUCUAUUCUGGUGUAGAAAAUCAUUAUUACUUUUUAAAAGAUGUAAACGGUCAAUAGGAACUAACAAAUAAACUGAAUUAUUUGAUAAAUAAACCAAUUUCAUGAAUAUAUGCAAGAUACCAGAGGGACAGUCAAACUCGUAAAUCUAAAAUUAACUGACAACGCCAUGACUAAAAAUGAAAAAGACAAACAGACAAACCA
rnacentral:lncRNA from 1 species